rnacentral:lncRNA from 1 species
UUUUCUUAGACCUUUAGUCAUAGUUGGCUACACAUGGCUAACCAAGGCUACGUUUGAGCGACUUCCCCUGGUAUCGCUACAUAUUUCAGAGGCCAGCAAAACACAUUUUUUGACUAAUGCUGUCAGCGUUGAACCCACCGCUAACUAAAAAUGUCCUCCAAUGGGGUUUUUGAUCCUUGACGUCUUAUUGUUUGGUCCUCUUCAGAGCCGUUGGAGCCUUUCAAGAGAUACACCCUCACUCUGCACACGCGAACAAACAAUGAAACUUGUAACAUGGUUCAUAUCAACAACAGCGAGAGCACCUACGGGAGCAAACCAUUCUAUUUCAUUGAAGGGUGUAAGUCAGUAACUGACACAGUAACUUUCUAUAGUUUGUCGGCUUCUUACAUUUACUUUCCAACAGCACCUGUCAGUGCUCCUACAAACGUCAGCGUCUCAAAUGUGACGCUGACCUCGGCGCUGCUGUUCUGGACUUCCAUCCCAGAGGAAGACACCAGAGGUUUCCUGCUUGGUUACAUAAUCUAUUAUAAGAAGUACGACCACAAAAAGACCAGCACUGAAAACAACGUCACCGUGGAUCCGUCCCUGAAUGUCUAUGAACUGGAAAAUCUCCAAAGUGGGACACCGUACCAAGUCCAGAUAUCGGGUUUCACUUCUGGAGGAACCGGAGUUCGAAGCACAGCAAGCUUCUUUAAGACAAACCUUAAAGCAAAUGUUCACAUCGGAGGUAUCAUCGGAGUCUUUGCAUUUGUUAUUCUUGUGACGUUUGGAUCCCCACUCAUAAAAAGAGCAAAGACGGUCCUGUGGCCGAGUAUUCCCAACCCUGGAAACAGCGAUACGAUGCAGAAAAUCUUUGAACAGGCACAUCUUGAGGCUAUUGGUACGCUAACGGUUGAGGAAUGGCACUCAGGAAUUCUCCAGGUUCUCCAACGUUCUGAUAUAGAAGAUCACACUGAAGCAUCAUGUAGUGGAAACCAAGAGGAAGCUGAGAACGUGACUGGAGAAGAGUCACGUGAAGACAAUGGUGAUGUUUUCUUCCUGGAUACCAAACAGACAAAUGUCCAAAGUUCUACAUGUGCCUUGGUGAGUGGAUACACCACAAUGGAGAUGUUUCAGCAGGGCAUGAGUACGAUCCCCACAGAGAGAACACAGCAUUUUCAGAGCAAAGCAGAACACGACGAGUCCUCUGGGUCCAAGCAGAGACUGGACUACGUCAGACAGUUCAGUGAAAAGUCCACAGUCCAGUGA